rnacentral:rRNA from 1 species
GUUGUAUAGUCAAGUAAUUAAGUGCAUGUGGUGGAUGCCUUGGCAGUCAGAGGCGAUGAAAGACGUAAUAGCCUGCGAUAAGCUCCGGGGAGGCGGCAAAUAUCCUGUGAUCCGGAGAUUUCUGAAUGGGGAAACCCACCUGUCAUAAGGCAGGUAUCGUAUGAUGAAUACAUAGUCAUACGAGGCGAACGAGGGGAAGUGAAACAUCUCAGUACCCUUAGGAAAAGAAAUCAAUUGAGAUUCCCUCAGUAGCGGCGAGCGAACGGGGAAAAGCCCAUUAAGUCAUAUCAGUUUUAGUGGAAUGCUCUGGGAAGUGCAACCAUAGUGGGUGAUAGUCCUGUACACGAAAGGGCUGAUAUGAUGAUGUCGAGUAGGGCGGGGCACGUGAAACCUUGUCUGAAUAUGGGG